AGCUCCAAUAGCGUAUAUUUAAGUUGCUGCAGUUAAAAAGCUCGUAGUUGGAUUUCGGGUGGGAAUGGCCGGUCCGCCGUUUCGGUGUGCACUUGCUAGUCCCACCUUGCUGCCGGGGACGUGCUCUUGGGUUUCGGCUCGGGACACGGAGUCGGCGAGGUUACUUUGAGUAAAUUAGAGUGUUCAAAGCAGGCCUACGCUCUGAAUACAUUAGCAUGGAAUAACACGAUAGGACUCUGGCCUAUCUUGUUGGUCUGUAGGACCGGAGUAAUGAUUAAGAGGGACAGUCGGGGGCAUUCGUAUUUCAUUGUCAGAGGUGAAAUUCUUGGAUUUAUGAAAGACGAACUACUGCGAAAGCAUUUGCCAAGGAUGUUUUCAUUA
rnacentral:rRNA from 2 species